GCCACGCCGAGCGACUACCUCAUGGACUAUCGAACGCCGCCGCACGACCGUUGCACGACCGCCGCACGAUCUCCGCACGACUGCCGCACUCAAAACCAAGCCAAACACUCCAUUUCAAUAGAGCCAAGCCCGUCCCCCUCGUCCACAACGCCUCGCGGAAGAUGAAUAGGUAGAUAAAAUAUUAAAAAAAUAUAUAAAAGAGGCGAAACAGCGAGAAGAAAUGAAGGCAACGCACCCGCAGCGGUGGUGAAGGCGCGAAAGGAGAAUCGAUCGGCGAGCUCGAGUGAGCGGAGGAGAAGACGGAGAGAGAUUACCGCCCACUCGAUGGGAUAUGGAAGAUUUCAGCUAUAAUCUGAGCUCAAGAUCAUCAAAUUUCCCAAUCCCACAAAAAGCCCUAAUUCUCUCGACUUCCCCCUCUUAUAUGUGCCGCGGAGGCGCGGUGGCGGGUUGGAAAUUUCCCGCCUUUUGUGGACAUCGCCUGAAAUGGGGGAGUCGUCGUUAGCCACCUUGUGUUGUCGAAAUUUUUUUGCCAGAACCAGAAGGAGAACCUCCACGAGUAGUAGCGACAAACGCUAAAUUUUCUUCACAAGCCAACACCACGAGAUCGAAACCCCACUCGUCCUCGCCCUCCCCUUAUAAAACAGUCGCCUCUUGCCCCUCAAUCCCUCUAUAACAAUUACAUCAUGGGGGCGAAUUGGUUUUAUGGACUAUAUCAAACAUAAAUGUAAUGAAAUUAUGUAAAAAUUAAAAGAAAUUCUAUAUUACAAAAAAAAAAAUUGAGGGUCAUACUAAAUAUAUUUAUUUCAAGAAUACAAAUUUUGUGUAGUUACCAAAUGCUUUUGAAUGCUUAAAAGCUCGUCUAUAGAAUAGAAGCGAAAAAUAUUUUUUUGGGUAGAAAUUGUCAUCGGGAAUAAAAUAGUUAUCAUACAGACCCUUUUACAAUGACACUUCUAGUAAAUACAACGAGUAAAUUGCCAUACUUAAAACAGAAUUGUGUUUAUUUUUUAUAUAAUUUUUCUUAAAAUAUCUAUGUAAUCAAUUAAACAAUCUACACAAUAGCUCCACCCUUAUUGCGCAAAAAAAGUAGAAUUGGAAGGAAAAUUUCAGGGACACAAUCGAAGACAACGUUAUGUAUUCAUCUUUUAUCUAGAGUACUAUAGAAAGCAAUGAGUUUGAAAUUACAAAAUUAUUUAUAGAGAGAUAUUUAAAGCUCUAAAAUGAGUAUUUAAAUUCGUGGGAAACACCCCACGUCAUUCUCAAUUUGAUACGAUAACCAAAAUUCCAAUAUCGUUAUGGCGAAAUUCCAAUACUUAAAACAGAAUUGUCUUUACUUUCCUUCCCCCCUUCCCCCCUAAUUUGGAUUCUUCCCUGUUUUCGCUUCGAGUGAAAUUAAAAAAAAUAUAUAAUAAAAGGGAAAAUAAAUUACAUUAGAACUCGUUUAGUGACGUGGGACCCACAAAACAUGCAAACCCCGCGUUUUUCUCCAUGGAGGUUCUGGUUCUAGUUCUGACAAAAAAUUUCCGACGACAUAGCAUGGCUGACGACGACACCCCCCAUUACAGUUAAUCCCCCUCGCUUUCUCUAUCUACUUCUUCUGCUGGGUGGAUCCACACACCAGAAUUCAGGCUAUGUCCACCAAAGGCGAGGAGGGCCGAGGGCCGGGGGAAUCUCCACUCUCCCUCAUUUCACUCCACUCCUCACUCCACCCAAUCUAGGGUUUUCGAUCGGAGGACGAUUUGAUUCUCACUUCUUGAAGUCAAAUCGUUUGUCCAGACACCUCUCUCUGGUCCCGUCGACUCUAGUCCCGUCUAUGGUCACCUCUUUUUGGUCGAAUUGCCUCCGAUCGACUCGACUGCUCGUAAGAUCCUAAAUUAGGUUUCUCGCUUUGAUUCCUUCUCAUUGUACCUAUUUUUAGUUGUGAUGCUCACUUAUUGAAGUUGAAUCCUUUGUCCAGUUGCCUCUCUCCGAUUGUGUUGCCUUCAUCACGUCACCUCUGUUUGUACUUGCCUCUCUCAUCGUUGCUUCCCUCGUGCUUGUCUCGCCCUAAACCCAGGUUUCUUGAUUCGAUUCCUUCUCAUUGUACAUUUUCUAUUGUGAUUCUCACUUCCUAGGAAUCAACUUCUUUCUAACGGCUAUUGUUGCGCUGGAUUUUUGUUGCAAAUUUACUAACAACUUAUAUUCUCCUAUAUCAUAGCUCUAACGGUCCUUAUAUUUUCGACAAUCAUUGCUCUUGACAGUCAUUAUAUUAGUUGAAGAUGGAUAUGGCUUCUUGGUUUUCGACAAUUAUAGCUAUGGACUAUCACCACUAUUCCAAGAUUUAUUGUGCAAAACUAGCAAAGAAAAAGAUUUAUUUUCUAGAGAGAAAAUGUGGUUCUAUAGUGAAGUUGUCUUUAGGAUGUUGGUGAAGCGACCUAAAGAUUCUCACAAUGUAUUACUGCAUUAUUAGUUUAGGAAUCUGUCAAUUUAGAAGCAUUUCCUUGCAUUGGUGGUGUUCAUCUUAUAAAGUUUAAUCAUAUUAGGACUGGGAAGGACUCAAAAUCUUACUUCUCAUGUGUUAGAAAUCUGAGUAGGGCUUCUUUAUUAGCAUUGGUUUCAUUAAUAUCCACCGGCCGAUGACCGCUAUCGUUUGCCGGCAGCCUGCCAUCACUAACCACUGCACGAUCGCCGCUUGCUGCCACACAACCGCCGAUCAUUGUUGCCACCGCUGCCGUAGGACCAUUGCCCACAGCACACUGGCCACCACCCCCUCCCACGGCCGGCCGGCGGUGGGAGGCAAUCCUGUAGUGGCGGUCGGUGGCAACGGUCGGCGGUUGUGCAGCAGUCGUGCGGCAAUCGUAUGACGGUCGUGCAGCGAUCAUGCGGCAAUCGUGCGGUGAUUCUGCGACGAUCGUGCAACGGUUGUGCAAUGAUCGUGCAACAGUCGUGCGGCAGUUCGCUACUAACUUGGUUGAGCUUUCUUGAGAUAUAAAGAACAAGUUCUUAAACUUAUAAGCUCAAUUUGGCAUGACUUACAUCCGAGUGAUGGGCAUGGAUAGAAGUUGUUUGGCAUAAAAUUGAUUUGCUUUAUUGAAGUCCCUGUUGAUUAUCUGAAAGUAGAACUAGCUUUGCGAAAUUAUUUCCAAAGAUUGAUAAAAAUUUGGUAAAAAUCAGGCUUCAAAGUAAUUGUUGAACUUAUUAAGAUGGUAUGCCAUGAUGAAUUAAGGCCUUCGGAUGUCCUAGUGAGAAGGCGUGACGAAUGGAUGGAGUUAUGGGUUAGAAGGGCAGGGGAAGACGUAGAAAGAUGUGGAAGGAGACAGUAAGGAAAGAUAUAUUUAAAGUUUACCUAGGAUGUAAAAAUCAGCCCCAAAUGAAGCUCAUUUCUCUUUUCCUAUUUUUUAUUUUAUUUUUCUUUUUAACAUUUUUGUGCUUUCUUUUCCUUUUUUUUUUUCUUCUACCCCUUUCCAGAUUGUCUUCUUCGGGCCCUCUCCUCCCGCAGCCGCGACACGUUGAGGCUCCUGCCACUCCCUUGCCGGAACAACGCCAACUACUCCGUGAGUACCAACCACCCUAAGGAAAGUCGCCGGACCACUACCGCGCAUCGAUCAUCCCCCUCGACCGGCGCCCUCCCUCGUCGGCUACCUAUUUCGGCGACCGCUAACCUAUUUCCGACGGAGUGAGUUGUCGAUUCAAAUACAUGCCAAUAUUUCACGCAAACCGUUCAAAAACACAACGAAUACAGGCAAAGUAACAAUGAUUCAGCAAGCACGGGGGCAAAAAUGAGUGGGUCUGGCGUUAAAACGCAAGUUGCUCUUCAGUUUUUCUUUCAGGAAUUUUCUCGAACACAUGGUCUGCACUACUGAACUUGAAAGAUUCUGGCUCAACCGAGAGCCGAACACACUUCAAAGGUCUUAGGAUACAACGUAUAAGGAGCACGGGAUCAAAGCACAAAGGCGACGUGGACCGGAGCUCACACGAGCACGGGAUCAAAGCACAAAGUAUGUUCUUAUUAAAUCAUGGGGGGGGGGGGGGUAGCCCUUGGUUUUAAUGUUAUUUUAUUUUUGUCAAAUUUUGUCAAAUUUUUUUUUAUUAAUUUUUCAAUAUUUUUCUUAACCCCUUUUUCUUGGGUUGAAAUGCAGGUUCAUGGGNNNNNNNNNNNNNNNNNNNNNNNNNNNNNNNNNNNNNNNNNNNNNNNNNNNNNNNNNNNNNNNNNNNNNNNNNNNNNNNNNNNNNNNNNNNNNNNNNNNNNNNNNNNNNNNNNNNNNNNNNNNNNNNNNNNNNNNNNNNNNNNNNNNNNNNNNNNNNNNNNNNNNNNNNNNNNNNNNNNNNNNNNNNNNNNNNNNNNNNNNNNNNNNNNNNNNNNNNNNNNNNNNNNNNNNNNNNNNNNNNNNNNNNNNNNNNNNNNNNNNNNNNNNNNNNGAAGAUUCGCUGUGCAAAUUGGGUGGUCCUGGACCGCAUCCUACAGUGGCGGUUGACGGCAACGGUCGGCAGUCGUGCGAUAGUCGUGCGGCGAUUGUGCGGCGAUCGUGUGACGGUCAUGUAGUAGUCGUGUGACGAUCAUGCGGUGGCGGUUGACGGUCCGUGAGUAAGAAGAAAAAACAAAUAAAUACAAAAAUUUAUAAAUUUUUACCAAACACAUUUUUAUUCUUUUUCUAUUCCAAGAAUAGAAAUUUUGUAUAAUUACCAAACACCUUAUUUUACUCAGAAAUUGUUCCCGGAAGUGUGAACAGAGAUGAAGGAAUAUUUCCCUUCAGUAAAUUGAAUCGCAAGUCAGGAAAAAUAAGAUUCAAGAGAUAUUCCCAUUGGGUUGAAUCAAUCUGACCAGUCAGAUUAUUGUGCGACAAAGUGAUUUUUGUUAGACUCUUGGACUUGCUGAGUGAUGGAAUUGAACCAGUAAAAUUGUUGAAUGAGAGCUCACCCCGACGUCACUGCUCACUACCACUGCAACGACCUGCGAUCCAGCUACUGCUCGCCGGUCGCCGACGCCGUGCCACCCUCCGCCCAGCAUCGACCAACCUGCUACCCGAAUCCCACACCCAGCUCUGUUGGUUGUCUCGCGCCUGUGUCGACGCUGCUGCUCUCCUCCAUUAGGUAGUUUAUUUUUCAUUUAUUUUAUUUUAUUGUCAUUUAUUUAUUCAUUUUAAAUUUUGUUAUUAUUGUUUAAGUUAGAAUAUGGUUUGUCAAUGUUAAUAUUUGUGCAUUUUGUAGGCAUUAUCCGCUAGGAUUUUGUUCGGAAUUAUUGUAAUUAUUAAUUUAAUCCGAGAGACAUCGGACUAUUUUUUUAAUUAUAUUAUUUUUUGAGCUUUUUGGUAGAAUUUUAAAUCAUUAUAAUUAUUAAUUUGAUCCGUAAGACUUCGGAUAAGAUUUUUAAUUAUUUUGAUCCCUUUGUCGUUAUAAUUAGGGUUAGGAUAAUCGUUAAAUUGACAUGUGAGACAACAUGUUAUUUUUUCGAUUAUUUUAAUCCUUUAUUUUGUUGAUAGUUUAGAUUUAAUAUUUACUUAAUAAUUACUUAUCUUUAAAAAAGCUAAAAAAAUCAAAAUUCGGCAUGAGCAUAUAGGUUUAGUAAAUCAAACAUGUAGGUUUAGUAAAUUAGAAUUUUCUUAGGAUUAUAUUUUUAGGGUUGCAUUUUCAGAAAUAGGUUAGGGUUGGACCUAAAUUAAUUUUUUAGAUAAUGUUUGCACAUUUUAAUUAUCUCAUUUUAAAAAAAAAUAGUUUUCUAAGAUAGGAUAGGGUUUAAGUUAAAUUAAUCCCUAGAAUAAAUUAGAAAAUUAUCCCUUUUUAGAUAGAUUAAGUAGGGUUUUCAUAAAUUCUAAAUUUCAAUAUAAAAAAAUGCAAAAAUACUAGGUGCAUGUUAACUAGUUUGCAUAAUAGGAUCAUUUAAUUAGAAUUUGUUCAUUAGUGAAAUUAGGUCAUGAGGUACAUGUCAAUUAGUUUGCAUAAUAGGCACAUUUAAUUAGAAUUUGCAUAUUAAUAAGAUUAAUUUAUUUAGUUAAGGAAUGCAUUUUUAUAAAAGAAUUCUACAUUUCAAGAAAACCCAAAAAAAUUGUUUGCUUUGUGCGAUACAAUUUAUUUAUUGAGUGUUUGAGCAUCCGUGUGGUCACUUUUUGCAUGAUAGUAAUUUAAGUUAAAAUAAAUCUAAGUUGCCUAGAAAAAACAUUUUUAAAAAAUUAAAAAGAAAUGGUACCAAAAGGGUAUUAAAGUAAUCUAGUAUAACCAAGUUCCCGUACCCUUUGUCUCUAGUUCGUAGGAGUAAAAUAAUUUUCUCAUUAUUUUACUUAGGUGUCUAAUCGACCUAUCGCAAACCGAUUAGUGGCGACUCCUAGAUAAUAAUCUUUUGCAUGUUAAAAAACUUGAACCUUAAGUCGUGAAUUGGUAUGGGCUUGGGAGAGCUCGAGCUAAGUUAAAGACUUAGUAGUCCAUUAACCUAGUUUUAAGUGGUGCACCCGAAAAUUAGGUCGUGACAGCUUGGCGAAAGUAAAGAUACUAAAAGAUAGUGAAUUUGUUUAAUUUGUGUGGAGAGGAAGGGAACUUUCAGGAUAUGCGAUUGUAAUUAUAGGGGAUAAGUAUACUAUCAGUGCCACAAGUUGUGUAUGGCACUCACUUUGGUGCCAAAAGUUUCUGUCAGAUCACUUAAGUGCCAAAAAGUUUGAAAAAUGAUCAUUUUAGUGCCAACUCUGAUCUGGUUGACCAGAAAUUCGACGUGACACUUUUUUAUUAAUUUUUGAAGCUGAUGUGGCUCGCCGAAGAUUACAGUAAGCAUUAUAACAUCAAAACGACGCCGUUUGGUGUCUCUCCCAAUUCAAAACCCUAAAUCUUUGGCUAGUCGCCGUCCUCGACGGCCCCUGCGCUCGGUAGCCACGGCUUUGACCCUGACCCCGACCUCGACGAUGGCCACUUGGCAGCCGUAGCUCCAACCCCAACCCCGACCCCGACCUCAACCCCAAUGAUGGCCACUCGACGGCCGCGGCUCCGAUCCCGACCCCGACGAUGGCCACUCAGCGACCGCGGCUUCGACCUCGAUCCCGAUCCCAACCCCAACCCCAACGAUUGCCACUCGGUGGCCAAGUUGAAGGCCGUGAUCUAGCCGGUGCUUGAGGAGGCCGCCGAUGAGUGCGCCACCAUUGAUGUCUCCCUCUCCAUCUCCAAUCUCUCUGACGAGUGCCUAGCCUGCGUCUUCUAAUAUCUAGGCUCCGGCGACUGGGGCUAGUGCUCCCUCGUGUGCCAUUGAGGGCGUCCGAACAACACCAAGCAACGGCGGCCGAGCGAGUGACGGCGGCCGAGCGAGUGAUGGCGGCCGAGCGACGGCCGAGCGAGCUAGGUCGAAAAAAGCCUAAUUUCAGUUCAAAAAAAAAAAAUUCCCCAAAUGAGUUAAACGACGUCGUUUUUGUGAGAUCAUCCACGUAGGAUGGCAAAAUGAAGUCGUUUUAAAGCAACCAAAACUUUUUUCUUUAAAUAUAAAGCCACAUAAUUAAUCUGGCUAGAAUCUCUCGCCGGUGACACCAAAGUGAUCAUUUUUUCUCCGAUUUGACACUUAAGUGAUCCGACGGAAACUUUUGGUACCAAAGUCAGCACCGUACACAACUUAUGGCACUAAUAAUGUACUUUUCCCAUAAUUAUAGUGAUAAUGUCAUAACUUUUCUCGAGCAGUUCCAGCGAUUGUGCCCAUGUGCUUCCAAUCCAAAAAUCUUGUGCCCAUGUUCCCAUGACAUCAUUAUCUUGUUUCAAAAAUGCAUUUAACUGUCCUACGAUAGCGGUCACUUCAUUCUCUAGUGCCUUCAAACUCGUGAUCCUAUUUUGACGUGUCUUCUCUCGAUACUUUGACAGCUUAUAGAUCUUCCGGUACUCUUAUCUAUUAUCAUUACCUAUUCGUCAUUGUAUAUUGACAAUGGAUUGGCCAUAAUUAUCAGUACGCACUAGCAUUGAUACCAAUUGGUCACGUGCCCAACAAUGCUCGUUGCUUAAACCAGGUGUCGAUGACCCGGUCGCUUUUUUGUGUAAACAUCCCUCAUUCAAUUAAUUGUGAGCAUUCCAGGAAAGUGGAAUCCCAUGUCACAGUGAUAAAAAAAUAUUUUAUCCUUUUAUUUUCUGAUUUUUUGCGCGGACAAUAAUGUAUGCCUUUUUAUAAGGCUCCAUUGCUUAGCGAUUUUAGACUAAAUAGCGCGAUGGAAUCAACACGCUAAGGAUAAUUCAGAUGCCAAAUCUAAUAUUAGCAUUAAAAUAACUUUUAAUAUUGAACUUUAAAUACUCAUUAUGAUUAUCCGAUUAUUGGGAAUUGAUCUAUAAGGAAUUUUAAAGAUUGUUUAAUAAUUCAAUAAUGAAAAUUGCCUGAUUGUUUUUAUAGUAGUUGCUAGAAUGUUCGGUGCACAAAAUUGCGUGAUUUUAUUUGCCUUAUAGAAAAUGAGUUUUUUUGCAUUAAUGGAAAUAAAUUUGAUAAGAAUAACUGCAAAUUAAGUAAUGCCAUAACUAAAAUAAUCCAAUCACUUUCCAUGAAAAUGGGAAGAGAUGACCUACCGCUUUAUUUCAGAGUAUUCUUUCUCCGUUCAACAAUACGAAUUGUAACAUAUAAAUAGCCAUUUAGCAAAUCAUGUCACACAAAGAUUCAGACAAUGGGUCUGAGAAAGGUCCUCCUCAAUUUUUCAUGAAAUUCUACAAGUAUUUCAAUAGUAUUGGUUUAAUCCCUAAUUGUUGCAUGAACAAAAUUGUGGAUAGAAAAAACCUAGCUUUUUGCUCAAUGCAAAAAAGCACAGACAGAGACCACAAGCUAAGCAACUCGAGAGAUCACAUGUUUUGAAUGGCUAUCUUGAUGAAACCAUUGUUAUUCUCAGAACGGCAAAGGAAGAUCAAAUAAGAGCCAAAUUGCUCGAGCAGACAUGUCCACGGAGAUAUCAUCCUUUGUCUACUAAAUCUCCAAGUUAUUAUGUAAGUUCUUUCCUUGAUGACCUAAUUAAAUUCAUAAUGAAUUGUUGUCUUUUGUAUUUUGACACCUAAAUAAUGCCUGUUUUAGGGUUUAAUUGCGUAGAAAAUUAUGAUCAAUUUUUAAUCCCUAAAAAAAAAAUCGUUAAAAUUGCAUAGCAUAUAGAAAAUUAUUUGUUUAUGUCAACGCUCAUUAGUUGGUUUGCAUAUUACUUUUUUGUAGGGGUGUCAACGGUUCGGUAUGGUUCGGUUUUUUUGAAAAAUUGAACCGAACCGAACCGUUUGAAAACUCUCCCAAACCGAACCGAAACCGAACUGAACCAAAUACAAACCGAACCGAAAUUUCGGUUCGGUUCGGUUUUUCGGUUUUUCGGUUUUUGGUUUUCAGUUUUUCUUUUCUUUUUUUCUUUUUUCGUCUUCGUUUGAGGGCAGCGGCAGCCAAAAAGCUUCCAUUUUUCUCUGAGAGUUCGUCCGUCCAUCUUCAUCGAUAAGUACUUGUCUUAUUUUGCUCAGCUAUUGGAUUCGUGAUAAGGCCCUUCUUUUCCAUGUCGUUUUUUUUUGUGGGUCUCUCUGCAAUGCAUCAAGACGAUGGCGGCUAUGAUGAUUGAAUUGACAUAGAAAACAUGAGAAUGAGAGCAAUCGAUGAGAAAGAUCUUUCAAUGAACCCUCUGUAACUCUAAAAACUAAUGCUCUGUUUUCCCCCAUCCUGUUAUGGCCGAUCUCGCGGUGUUCAAUUAUGGGAUGCGACGAUGAAAGUUGGUAGUCAGAGAUGGUGAUCAGUGGAUUCUGGCGUUGAUUGGUGGUGAAGAAACUUUUUGGAACUCGGCGGAUGAAGAGGAGUGACCUUUGAGCGAGCGGUUCACUGACAGAGUCUUCCUUCUUUUUCCCUUCUGCUUUGUUGGAUCCAGAAGCAAUAUUGCAAAGCAAAUAUUCUCUCUCCAACUCUCUGCUUUUUUCAAAUAAUUCAAUUGCCAAAUCACAGAGAUCUACUUGCUCUACUUGCUCUCAUCAACUCUGGUCCCUAGCAUCACAUUCUCCCUCUCUCGCGUUGCUCUGUUUCACGAUCGAAAAACAGAGCAAACGAGUCUCUGCCGAAAUGGACCGGCUCUCUGCAACUAGUCUCCUUCCCCACGUUCGGAGGAGCAAAAGACGACAUCUCCAUGCAACUUUCGCUGAUUUGGGCUCAGAAAAAGAACCGAAUUUUUAAUAGUUUGAUUUUUAUCGGUUUGUGGUUCGGUUCGGUUCGGUUAACCGAUAAAAACCGAACCAAUAAAAAAAUAUUGGUUUUUAAUGAGAAUCGAACCGAAAACCAAACCGAACCGAAAAAACCGAAUUUUUCGGUUCGGUUUUCGGUUCGGAUCUUGACACCCCUACUUUUUUGGCAUGACCAUCGAUUGGGCGACCAGGCAAGCUCCAUUUCAUAGGGCCAGCACGCGACCCGAGAGAGGUGAGAGACGAGAGGGGUAAUGGACCUAAGGGGUUUUUGCGUGUUUUGAAAGGGAUAAAUGUGAAAUUAUAAUUAGUGAGUAAGGAUAAGAUUGGAAAUUGAAAAUUUCACUAAAUUCUGGUCUUUUUUUUUUUGUGCCGGAGGAACCGUUUUCACCGACAGCCGCCACGUAAAAAUUCUGGUCUGUUGCGUGCCAAGAAAAGCCGAAAAGUGAGUUGUUGAAUGUUCCGGGGAACAGAGAAAUCGGAAGCAUUUGGAAAAAUGGAGAUUUUAUCAUGCGCAGCCUUAGAGGCCCAUUGCAGGGUCGUUCCCAAAUGCUGCCUAAGUCUUCAACUUCUAUUGGGAUUUUAAGGGAACCAAACCUGGGAUUUGGAGAAAUAUUCAACUAUAGAGAACUAAUUUGAAUUAAUGGAUCCAAUGGAUGUUCUUUAACUUGCAUGUAUAUGGAGGAUUUAAUCUCUUCUUCGGGUUUCUGUCGCAAUUUAUAUAUGUUUCUUUACUUCUUCCCAAAGUUUGACACCUAAGAAUUUCAAUAUUUUUCUGACCAUUAAAAAGAAGAAGAGAAUUUGAAUAGUUUACGUCCUGUUCUCGUACGAUCAAAACUCGAAAAUGAGACAUAAGGUCUGAAGGAGUCAACAAGUGCCUCUGACAAAACAAUAUGCUGAUAUCGAGAUAUAGAACAACACUGGGCCUCAAAGUCAGAUAUAAAUUUUAUUACUUAUAAAUUAAGUUUAGGGAUAAUAGCACAAACCAUAAAAUUUGACUUAAUGUUCAAUGUAAUCCUAAGCUUUUAAUUUGUUAAAUAUGAUCAAUAAAUAUAACCUCGAACUAUAUAAAAAUAUUCAAUAUAGCCAUUCUAUUAAUUUAAGGUCGGGAACAAUAUUAAAUAUUUUUAUAUAGUCUCGAGACCACAUUGAUUAAAUUAAAAGUCCAUAGAUCACAUUGCAUAUUGGAUUAAAUUUCAAAAAUUAUAUUGAAUAAAUUAAAAUUCUAGGAACCAAGUUGCAUAUUGAAUAAAAAGUUCAAAAACAAUUUUUAUCAUUUUGCCAUAAGUUUAAGGCUAGGUUCGAAGUCCACUGGAGUCUAACUGGUUAGGAUACCCGGCUCUUGCCCGAGAUUGUCCCAGAUUUUAGUCCCAUCAGCGGAAAUUUCUUUUUUAAAAAAAAUAAAAAAGUUAAUUUUCCUCUUCGGCACAAUUUUCAAAUUUCUGUUUUCCUGAAUUAUUUUUCCACCUUCGCUCGUCCUUGUCAAUUCACAGUCCCCCGAGCAUGCAACUUCUGCUAGGACAUCUCUUUCUGUUCAUGCUUGUUUUGGCUACUGCGCGUCGGCGUGGAGUGUUUUUCUGCGUGGCAAAAAUGCGGUUCUUGAUUCGUGCUUCAGUUUUGGAGGUCCAGCAGUAGAGUUGUUUGUGCCAUAGUGUAGUUCUGAAAUAUUAGAGCAUGCACAAUAGCGUAUGAACAAACAUAUAAUUGGCAUUUAUUUAUGUAUUAUGAACAUGCAAAAUAUCCAAGUUAGGGAAGACAUUCAAGCAAGACAUAAAGGCUUAAGUCCACAAAAACAAAUCGUCCCCAACCGAGUCACCAAGUUAUUGCGACCUCUAUCCCUCGUGGUAGCAAUGGUGGACCGCCUCAAAGUUCAGUUAAUAGAUUGCUAAGUUUAAACCUAGCAUGGGCUCUCCAAGCCCAUCAAUUCACCACUUAUGAUCCACGUUUUUAACCUAUAAGUGAUCUCCAUUUAAAAGUCUCCACUAAUUGAUUUAUGGUGAGCCGAUUAAAAACCCAAAUAAAAUAUUGAGAAAAAUAUUUUAAUUCUAUGCAAUCAGAGAAAAUAAGAUUAAGGAUUUGAUUAAUCAACCGAUGUCCUUCUAGUUUCUAAUUUCGUUUAAAGCUUGAAUUUAAUUUUUUUGGGGUAUUUUUCAGUCAUUUUUCUUUGAAAACUCCUCAAAAAUUAUUUUUCUUCAAAAGAAUCAGAAUGUUUGGGUCGGAUCUUUGCCUCCCAAAUCGAAGCCAACCCGAGCCCGCCGGGUUGGGCCCACGGCUGGACAGGACUCAGCGAAUGAGCCCAGUCCGACCAUAACCCCACAAAUAGUAGAAAAUGAAACAAACUCAGCCCACAUCCUAGAGAAGUUGGGUCCAUUCUGAACCAAAAGCCCAGACCCUCUAAAUUAAAAUGAACCUAAGCCCAACCCACAAAUUCCAUUUGAGCCCAGCCCGAGAACGAAGACAUAUUGCCCAACCCGGCCGUCCCGAGUCGCGAUCUUUCACGGCCACAGCGCAGAGUACCGAGGCGAACGGCGUCCCUCAUCUCGGCCCGGCCACGCGCACGUCGCGACGUCACCUCGCAUGCCCGGGCUACGAGCUCGACCUCCGCCCAGCCAGCCAUCGCCGCCGACCGUCGUCGCUGGUCACCGCAACUCCAGCUACGACCACCGAACGGAGGGAUUCGAGAACUCUGUCGAGCAUUUCGUCGAACACUUAUAGUACGCUGGCCAAAAAGGAAGAAUCGAACCAACCGAGGCUCGAGAUCACGGCAGAACUCAUGACGGGCAACAAGCAACGACCAGAGUAGCUUAACAAAGGACAGUCGGAGCUGGAGCUCACGUGAACCAGACGGUCGCGAGCUCCGGCCCGUCAUGCUCGAAACAGGGCAAAAACAGAGCCUGGCUUACCGGAGCUUGGCAAGGGGAAGGAAGUACGGCGGCAGGUGCGGUUGCUAGCGGUCUCUCCCCCCAACUCUCUUUCCUCGCUCGAACUCUCUCUCACCGCCCUCUCUCCUUUUCUCAUAUCUCUCUCUUUCAGCCCCCCUUAUCCGCCAUUUUUUUUCCUCUUCAGCAACCGUGGUCGUGGCCAUGGUGUUUAUAGGCGAGGAGCUCGGUCGACGGAGGUGGCUCAGCCGCAGGAUCUGGGGCACGCCGACCAGCCGUGCUUCGGCCGAACCGGGGUCAAAUCCCUCGUCCAAUCCGUGCGGCAGGACUGCUCUGCAGGCGGCUUGCAGGCGGCUUGCAGGCGUCUGCCCAGCCGUCCCCUCCAUCGCUGUCCUCCUGCUCUUCUCUGCAUGCGGCGUCCUUCGUGCGCGUGAGGCGCAGUGAAGGAAGGAGGAGCGAGACGGGCCGGGCCAAGGGGGGAGCUAGGGCAAGACGGGCCCGGGCCCUCGUGGGGAAGAAAGAAAUUAAAAAAAAGGGGGCUGGGCCCCGAGCCCCUUUCGUUUUUUUUUAAAUAUAAAAAUAAAAGAAAACCCAGUCAAUGCAAAUUAUAUUACCGCCCGCGCGAUGUGUUAUUCAGUGUAAAUAUUUUUGGGUUAGGGCUAGAUUUUUUUUUUUUGGGGUAGGGCUAGAUUGAUUCCUAAUUUUCUAUACAAUUUAAUUUUAAAUAUUUAAUUAAAAGUUAGCCAUUUAGGUCCCUCAGAUUAAAUCCCUUUAAUCCCCUAAUUAGUCGAAGAACCUCCUAUAGUAUUUGAAUCGACUCCAUCUAUCUUAUGUAGAUUGAAUGACGUUCCAAAAUGCCCAAUCUCGUGUCUUACAACCAUGAGACUAACAUCAUAGAAAAUCGACAUAAUAUCAUGUCCAUUUCUUUUUCCGCACUCCCGUAUUUGUACCAACUCAUUGAGGCAAAAUUAGCCGGAAGCAAAAUUUUGUGAGAGGAUGAAUAUCAAGAUCCUUGGCGGCUUGAUCACCUCUUUUAUUUCCUGUCCAAUCUCUUCUUCAACACAGAAUUCUUCAUUAUCUCUAAAGACCCCAGUCCCUACACUUGCCAAUUUAGUGAAAAGGAAAUCUGUGAAUUCAGUGUGAGUAUUUGGACCUCUAAAACUCAAGAAUACUUCAUAUUCGAUAGAGAUAGUUGCUGCUCUACCUGCUUUAGAGUAAAUUUUUCAUGAACAAAUAGGCUUUGUAAUGCCGAAAUUAACUUUUAACAUACAAUAUGAUUUCAUAAUUGUUAUUCUGCUGAAAUAUGUCUAGGAAAUUCCCCCAUUUUCUCUAGGUCAUUAUUUUUGGCAUGUCAUGAUUCUCCAAAAUGAUUUUGAAAGGUUUUCUCCUAAAAAAUUAUUUUCAUUUUUCAAAACCCUUAUUUUAUAUGGCCAAUAGGACGAAAAUACUUCUAUCCAAGAAUGAAUAGGCAAAGCACACAAGUAAUAUAGAUGAAUCCCAUAUUGAACAGUCAUCAAUCCCACACCAAACAGACAUAAAUCCGACACACAUUUGUGCUAAUGCACAAUAAAAAAAGAAGUGAAAGAUACUUCUAAGAAUUGAAGUACUGCAACUGGGGCGUGCCUCACCACCUCAUCAACCAGCAUGUGCCCCAUGUGGCGCCCCAGUCACUACCGCUGGUGGUGCCGCUGCCGCCACCAAUGGUGCCGCCAAUGGAACUCCACUACGCUGCCUGCGCCUACACCAACAAUAGAAUAGGGCGAGGGCGAGAACGAUGAGAGCAGUCGCAAAUGAAAAGGCCAUUGCCGUGAUGGCCAACACCUUAUACUUGUGGUAAUUUGUUUCCGCCCUAUACCGUGGGGGACGAACGGCAUUUUGAAUAUCAAUUAAAAGCCUUGACAACAUAUGCAGGAGAGAAAAUAAAAUAUGGGGUGUUUGAGAGCAAGACAAACAAACACCACACAAUGCAUUCUUGGGACACAGAAUAUAAAAUAGUCGAUUAUAGCCUAAAACAAAUAGAGCUUGAAAAGAUAGGCAACAGAUUCUGAUAAAAAAAUGAUUGUUUUUUAUUUUAUUCCCGGGAAUCGAUUCUGAGUAAAAAAACGCAUUUGAUAACGAAUAAAAUUUCUGAUUCUAGAAUAUAAAAAAUAACAUAAAUGCGUUUUGUAACGAAUAACUGUAUAAAAUUUCUAUUCCAAUUCUUUUUUAAUUACCUUUUUAGAUUAAUGUAAAUUUGAUAUUGAAUUUUCAUAUACCAUUCACUGAUUAAUUAUAUUUUUAUACUAAGUAAUAAAAAGGGAACUUUCCUACCAUACAAGUGAACACGCAAGCUCUGAUUGAUCUUUGGUCAUGGUAGUUCACUCCAUAUAAUCGACCAAAAUAUUUAUCGAACAACAGCUGACAACAACUUAGAUACAUGAAUGAACUACGAAAGAGCUUCAAAACAAUUGAGAGUGCUCGACAUUGCAAGAAUAUAUCCAAAUUCAUUACGAUUAAACCAGCAACAAAUAUAGGCACAACUACCUUAUUGGCUUCAUAAUCGCUGCGUGAAAUCGCCACGCCGAGCAACUACCUCAUGGACUAUCGAACGCCGCCGUACGACUGCCGCACGACUGCCGCACUCAAAACCAAGCUGAACACUCCAUUUCAACAGAGCCAAGCCCGUCCCCCUCGUCCACAACGCCUCGCGGAAGAUGAAUCGGUAGACAAAAGAUUAAAAAAAUAUAUAAAAGAGGCGAAACGGCGAGAAGAAAUAAAGGCAACGCACCUGCAGCGGCAGCGGAGGCGGGAAAGGAGAAUCGACCGGCGAGCUCGAGCGAGCGGAGGAGAAGAUGGAGAGAGAUUACCGCCGACUCGAUGGGAUAUGGAAGAUUUCAGCUAUAAUCCGAGCUCGAGAUCGUCCAAUUUCCCAAUCCCACAAAAAGCUCUAAUUCUCUCGACUUCCCCUUCUUAUAUGUGCCGCGGAGGCGCGGUGGUGGGUCGGAAAUUUCCCGCCUUUUAGCGGCGUGCCAUGUGCAAAGUGAGACUAUACUAACCCCAACCACAGCCAUGAUCACUUACAAGUCGCAGCACUUCUAGGUUGGACUGACAGAACACUACCAAAACUACCGAAUGAAAACUAAAGGUAAAUCCAUGUUAUUGCUCUACAUAAAAGAAACACGAGACAAAGCAAUCCAACACAGAGCAAUCCAAAAGAGAGAGCGACAGAUCGUGCGCGAGACAGAGCAAUCAAGAGAGAGAAAGAGAGAGAGAAAGAGAACCUAAUCUGGCUAGCUCGAUCUAGAAAGAAAACCAUCGAUCGAGCGAGCAGACGUCCGAUCUCCGAGAAAGAACCAAAUCCUCACGAUCUCCAACCGUCGGCGCUCGAUCUCCGAUCUCACGCCAAUGGAGGAAAACCUUCGCCUUCGACUAAAGCUCGGGAAAGAAAAGCGAAAACCGAGAGAUCCAGAGAGGGAGCUCUGAGAGAGAAUCGAGAACUGAGAGUCUCUUUGCUCGAGCAAGCUAACCUCCGAUCUCCAGAAAGAUAGACAUAUCUGCUGUCGCCGUCAUCGUCGAUGUCGCCGAUCAAAGAGCCGAACCCGCUCAAGAGCCACCGAGAGAGAAAAACGAAGAACCAGAGAGAUCAAGCGAGAGCCCCCUCGUGUGGACGAACACCGGUGGAGGUUAUCACUGCUGAGAAGAGAGUGAGAUCCGGCGAUUUAGGGUUUACUCCCAUCUCCCAUCGAAGAGCUCAUCGAGCAAUUACAAAGAGAUAGAGAGAGAAUCCCCGAGAGAGUACGUGAGUCUAGAGGUUUCAAGAGCGCUCGUGAGAGAGAAUUCGCGCGCGAAAAAAUCCGAGCCCCCUCUACGCCAAAAAAUGAGCGAGCCUUUAUAUAUUUUUUUUCAACGUUUUUUUUUCCUUUUUUUUCUUUUUCUUUUCUUUUUGGUUCCUUUUUUUUCUCUUCAUUCAUUCUUCCUUCUUUUUCUUCUUUUUUUUUUUUUUCUUUCUUCUCUCUUUUUUUUUUUUGUUUUUCCUUAUUUCUAUUUUUUUAUCAUUUCAUUUCAAACAUUUUUUUUUUUUGCAAAUUAUUUGUUUAAAAUGUCAACAAAAAAUUUCAGGUGUCAACAAGAUCUCCAGAAACUGGAAGCAGUUGAAGGCCUUUUGCUUGUCGUAAAAUGGCAUCAAGAAUUGCCUUCUCAGGUUUUAGUGAACCCACCCGAGCAAUUAGAAUGCAUCAAUAUUUUCUAACCCUUUUCUCGGUUUGAAUUGCAGGUUCAUGGGAGACAUUCAAAUGACCACACGCUACCCGCCUUACUGUGACCACGGUGAGCGCUAUCCUAUGGCGGUAUUGGCUGUGAUCAUAGGAGUUGUCGUCCUAGUCAUUGGCAGCUUCAUUUUUUGGUGGAUGUUCAAAUGUGGUAGUUGGUCUCUCGUAGCAGCGCCAGUGGUGCUAGCAGAGGCACCUGCUGAGGCACCGGGGGAGGCGCCUGAGGAGGUAGGUGGAGCUCGUGGACAUGGCAUUCACUUUAGGAGCGUCAUCCCCGGAGUCUAGUUAGGUUAUUUGGAAGAUUCGCUUGUGCAAAUUGGGUGGUCCUAGACCGCAAUCUUGCAAUGGCAGUCGACGGUGACGGUCGGCAGUCGUGCGGUAGUCGUGUGGCGAUCGUGCAGCGGUCGUGCGACGAUCGUGCGGCGGUCGUGCGGCGGCAGUUGACGGUCCGUGAGUAAGAAAAAAACAAAUAAAUACAAAAAUUUAUAAAUUUUUACCAAACACAUUUUUAUUCUUUUUCUAUUCCAAGAAUAGAAAUUUUGUAUAAUUACCAAACACCUUAUUUUACUCAGAAAUUGUUCCUGGAAGUGUGAACAGAGAUGAAUGAAUAUUUCCCUUCAGUAAAUUGAAUCACAGAUCAAGAAAAAUAAGAUUCGAGAGAUAUUCCCAUUGGGUUGAAUCAAUCUGACUAGUCAGAUUAUUGUGCGACGAAGUGAUUUUUGUCAGACUCUUGGAUUUGCUGAGUGAUGGAAUUGAACCAGUAAAACUGUUGAAUGAGAGGUCCAAAUAAGUUUGCGAAAGAUUGGUGAAAGAGCUUGGGAUAAUUCCGUCAAAGUUGCAAUUCAUCAAUUCUACUCUUGAUAGAUUUCUGAGAUUACCAAUUGAUUCUGGGAGCCUUCCAGAAAUAUUUGUGAAACUAAGAACUAGUGUCCGAAGAGAACCAUUCUCUGGAAAUUCGGGCAAAGAACCCUAAAGGAGUUUGUUGAAUGAUAGGUCAAGGGUCUAAAGUGUUUGUACCUGGAAGAUUUUAUCAGGGAAUACUCCCUGUAGACCACAAGAAUUGAGAUGCAUAAUAGUUAAAUUGGAGAAGCGGGCAAAGAACUCUAGGACGGUGGUAGACAGAUUAUUGUCGUCCAGUUUAAUCACCGACAGAGAAGGAAUAUUCAUGAGGGAAGAGCAAGAUUCAAUGGGACCUGAUAGAUAACAAUUCUGCUCAAUACUUGAAGCUUCGGCAGUGAAGAAGACAAGGCAUUGCACAAUUCAUUGCCUGUAGCAGACACGAUCACUCCGUCAAGGUACAACUCUCAGCUCUCUAAGAUUCCCAACAAGCAUCUUCAAAUUCGGAUUCUCGAGUUUCAGUGAAGUGAGCCAAGGAAAAUAAUGCAUGGAUACAUCAAGAGUAACCAACCUUGUCAAAUGUGAUAUUCCCAUGAGAACCUGUCCUGUGAAGCCCGCAUUUGAAAGAUUCAGGUACACCAAAUUGGUGAGAUUACUGAACCCAUAUGGGAUCUGUCGCGACCCGAUCUCGCCGCCCCUCGAAAUGGCCAAGGAGGGGAAAGGUCGGGUUUAGGGGUACUUGAUCUCAAGAUCGCGAGCUCUCCCAAGCUCGUACCCCGCGUGACAGUAGGUUUAUUAUGCAAUCUAGUUGUUUAUAACAACCUAAAAUAUAUAGGAGUUGCCACUAGCCUAAUUUUGGGGUCGGCUAGAAACUCAAUCGAGGGUCGGGAGUGUUCCUCGAUUCCUACGUAACCAGAUAUCUAGGUUCGAGAACUUGGGUUACGCUAAUAUUGCUAUUAGCGCCCUUUCGGUACCUAAACAAUAUGUUGUGUUUUUUCCUAACAUGUUCAUCCAUCUCUUUUUAUAUUUUCAGAAUCGUCAAUUCUAUAUUAAAUGAUCAUACAUGGUGGAUUACUUUCCUUCUAUUCUAUUCCUAAAAAAAAGAAAGAAAAACAAUCAAUGAAAAUUAAAUUGCAAGACAUGAAGUAAACAAUCAAGAUAAAACAGUAAACCUAAUCAUGCAAUUCUAAAGAAUAUAAAAGAGAAAACAAUCGAAAAAGAAAUGAAACCCGCAACUCGUCGGGCUUUAUACAAUGCAUGAAACCCGAGACAUAUGUCGGGAAAACGAAUAUUACAUGACAAUGGUCGGAAUGGGCAUCGACCUUCACCAUCUUCACGCUUUAUCCAUGUUCAGGAUCCCUAUUCUAAACCUAGUCUAAGAAAUAAGAAUCCCUUGCCUCAUCUUAUAUGACUAAGACAACGCAUAGAAAUCAUUAUUACAACGAACGGACAUAGGCAUCAGACAUGAACAUGAAUCCAGCAAAAUCAAAUCACAAAUAGGACAAAAUACAAGGCAUGUUUAAAGGUUCGUAAGAUCACCUAGACAAUAUACAAAAAUGUGAAACUUGCACAUGACAUAAGGUUGAAUGCGAAAAAGGUUUGGGUAAACAUUUAACCCUAAAUCAUAAUGCAAAGAAGUCACACAAGUCAUUAACAUUGCAAAGUGACUUGGAACUGAGAAUGUCAUGCUUGACAAAUUCUAAUUGCAAUUAGCCAAAUGAGUGCAUGAUAUUCACAUCAAAAGAGAUUCAAAUAUGAUAUGCCAUGCAUUAAUGCGAAACUUGUAACACGUGUUUCGAAUGUCAAGAAGACAACGAGGCACAAGUUUCAUGCAUACAACUUCGUCAAAAAUGCAGCAAAAUAUCAGGAUGUCAUAACACAUUAAUAGUGAUUUGAUCUAAAAAGAAAAUCUGAAGAAUAUGAAAUUUUACCACAGCGCGAAUAAAGAAAGGCGAACAACAUUUGUUAAAGACCCAAUCUUAGAAUCCUUAACAAGAAAAUCAUAGAAGACUGACAAGAGGUUAGCUUCGACAAGGGAACAACAGGGGUUCUGAAUUUCAUUUUAUGACAGAUUUCUAUCAUGCGCAUCACCAGAGAAGUUGAGUCCAAUUGAUGUGCAAAUCAUGCAAAAUCAGCAUCAUAAGAAAGUGACAGACAAUCAGGCCCACAAUAACAGUAUAUGCAUUUCUGACCAAGGCAAAUUCCAGAUUUCAGAAUGGAUUAGAAAAAAUGUUAAACAUAGCAAACGAUGGUCGAUUCAGGCAUGCGAUAUAUCAUUUUAAAGCUUGAUAUGUCUAUUACAAAUCUCUAGAAGACAUUAAGUCCUAAUAAUAUCAUUUACCAGCUCGUUCCAAGGACCGAAGCAUAUCAGUCAAAACAUGCAUACGAAUUUCCACAUCAGAACAGAACACAACAAUUUUCCAGAAUUACUUCCUAGCUUUUAAAGAAAAUUCAUGUGGCUAAUGAUAUCGGAUCAGGGUGUAUUAUAAUUCGUUGGAAAGCUAGUCGAACCAUCUUCAGCUCUCAUGAAGGCUUCAAACACAGAGAACCACAGCAACCAGCUCGUAUCAGGUCAUUUACACAAAAGGUCAUCCGAAACAGAGAAUCAAUCAGAACAGCAAAAAUUUCAAACAAGGUCAGGGAUAUUCUAGACAUACUCGACCUGGGUAAAUGAUCUUCAAUUAUCACGAAAUUUUUAUUUGAUAUAGAUUGGAACCUAAUGAACAACUUUCAUUUAGGCAUCAACUUUAGAAUCUAAUCACAAAAAAUCAUGUGAAAAUGGCAAACAGCACAGGUCAUUAAAGGCAUGAAAACAGAACACUUAAUCAUUUACAAACUGUAGCUCCGUUUUUAACAAUUGUUGAAUCUAGUAAAUGCUGACCAAAUCCAAGAACUCUCGGCAUCUAUUACGAAAUAUUAAGAAAGAAGCAAAAUCUACCCAAACAUGCCCGCAUGCUGACACAAUCACAAUGUCUACAGAUUGAAAUUAGCAGAACUUCAUCAAAAGAACACAUUACAAAGUGCACAUUUUUGUACCAUAUGAGGAGGUAGACAAAAGGACUACAACAACAUAACCCAUAUAGAACAGAGCAGCAAAACAGCAAAACAGAACCAAUCUAAGACAGAAUUCAUCUAAUCUAUACUUAAUCCACAACUUCCAGCAUGCAAUCGAAAUGGUAACAUAGCAUAUGAGACUACAAAUUGUGAUUGUUUGAUGACAAAUUGCCAUGAAAUUGAAGCCAUAUUUUCUCACAAGCAUGAAUGAGUCUAUUUGAUCAAAAUGGCAUCAAUCCAUAACCAAACCACCCUCAAGUUGGAAUCAAAUCCACACCGAAUCAUGGGAUAUCAAAACAUGGUCAGCAUCUGGUAUAUGUAAUCUCGUAACUACUACAAUUGCAAAAAAAAAAAAAAAAACCAAGAACAGCCGACAGCAAUCCCAACAUAUCAUUUGCUUUAAAAGCUUUCAAACAUAAUAUGAAUGGCAGCUUAAAUCAAAGGUUAUGAUCAUUAAACUCUGCUGCCAGAAUAUCUACACCAAAAAAAGUCAGAUGCAAAGGAACCAGCAACCUUUUUCUGUUUACCUGCAUAUGUCACAUAGAAAACUAUGUAUGCCAACUGAAAAAUUGCACCCGUGGAGUUCACCAUCAUGACCAGCAUGUUGUCACUCGAUAUUACCGGCGUGCCAUGUGCAAAGCGAGACUAUACUAACCCCAACCACAGCCAUGAUCACUUACAAGUCGCAGCACUUCUAGGUUGGACUGACAGAACACUACCGAAACUACCGAAUGAAAACUAAAGGUAAAUCCAUGUUAUUGCUCUACAUAAAAGAAACACGAGACAAAGCAAUCGAACCACAGAGCAAUCCAAAAGAGAGAGCGACAGAUCGUGCACGAGACAGAGCAAUCAAGAGAGAGAAAGAGAGAGAAAGAGAACCUGAUCCGGCUAGCCCGAUCUAGAAAGAAAACCACCGAUCGAGCGAGCAGACGUCCGAUCUCCGAGAAAGAACCAAAUCCUCACGAUCUCCAACCGCCGGCGCUCGAUCUCCGAUUGCACGCCAAUGGAGGAAAACCUUCGCCUUCGACCAGAGCUCGGGAAAGAAAAGCAAAAACCGAGAGAUCCAGAGAGGGAGCUCUGAGAGAGAAUCGAGAACUGAGAGUCUCUCUGCUCGAGCAAGCUAACCUCCGAUCUCUAGAAAGAGAGACAGAUCUGCUGUCGCCGUCGUCGUCGAUGUCGCCGAUCAGAGAGCCGAACCUGCUCGAGAGCCACCAAGAGAGAAAAACGAAGAACCAGAGAGAUCA
rnacentral:lncRNA from 1 species